UUUCCAGUAGGGUUUCUUUGGAAGAAGUAUUCAAGAGGCUUAACAGCAUCUGCUGUCAGAAACCCUCCCGCUGAUUUGGAAGAAUACCCUGCAAACCAGGAUCCACCCCACUGGCACUUAGUACAGGUGAUUGUAGCAGCCUCUUUAUGGGUCAGAGCCGCCUACAGGACCAGAAGCUUCAUGAAGCCAGCACCCCAACUUCCAACACCAGCGUCCGCAAUGCCCAACAGAGAUCCCAGGUGAGGAAGCUGAACUGACUUUGGUGACAUAUAUUCCCCAAGAUCUGACAGCUGAUGAGUGACAGAGCACGUAUUCAAACCCAGAUGAUGGAUCCAGCCACAAGUGACACUUUGCACAGGACAACCGUGGGCCCCAGCAGAGGACUGGCAGCCCCCAUGCAUGGACUGGCCCUGGAUUAGCGGUGCAGAAGAACUCCGUAACUGUUGAAGCCCUGUUUUCCAAAGAUGAGGAUCUUCCAGGGUAUCCUGCUCAACAUGACUGACUUGCUUCUUUCACUCAAGGACUUAGGGACUUGGGUUCAAAUUCUGACUCUCAAACUCAUGGUCUCUCAGAGUUUUCCUCCUCAGUUGCCCACAUAUGUAAAAUGGACCCAGAGUUUUCCAGUGUUAGGGCUGCUCCAAGUUCAGAGGAUGUGGAAGCCCAGGGCCGUGGCUACAGCAGACAGCCCCUGGUGACCUCUGUCUUUGCCAACAUUUAUUUGUUUUGAAAGACCCCAAGGCCAAUGGAUCCUCUUUCCUGAUCCACUAAGUUAUGAUUACAGAACCUGUAGCUCUUCUAUUCUUUUUCUUCCCCAAGGGUUUGCCUCAGCUGUCUUAUUA
rnacentral:lncRNA from 1 species